GAUGAACACUGGCGGCGUGCCUAAUACAUGCAAGUCGAGCGAAUGGAUUAAGAGCUUGCUCUUAUGAAGUUAGCGGCGGACGGGUGAGUAACACGAGGGUAACCUGCCCAUAAGACUGGGAUAACUCCGGGAAACCGGGGCUGAUACCGGAUAACAUUUUGAACCGCAUGGUUCGAAAUUGAAAGGCGGCUUCGGCUGUCACUUAUGGAUGGACCCGCGUCGCAUUAGCUAGUUGGUGAGGUAACGGCUCACCAAGGCAACGAUGCGUAGCCGACCUGAGAGGGUGAUCGGCCACACUGGGACUGAGACACGGCCCAGACUCCUACGGGAGGCAGCAGUAGGGAAUCUUCCGCAAUGGACGAAAGUCUGACGGAGCAACGCCGCGUGAGUGAUGAAGGCUUUCGGGUCGUAAAACUCUGUUGUUAGGGAAGAACAAGUGCUAGUUGAAUAAGCUGGCACCUUGACGGUACCUAACCAGAAAGCCACGGCUAACUACGUGCCAGCAGCCGCAGUAA
rnacentral:rRNA from 1 species